ensembl:lncRNA
GGGGGGGGGUUUACGGGGGGUGUUCAGGGGGCUGGACCCGGGCCACGGAUCUGCAGGGCAGCUGCGCCGUGUUUGCUGCUCACAGUCGUCGCCUCUUACGCACAGAACUGAAUCCCGCUGCAUCAACGCAAACACUCUUUGUGGCUUCGACCCAAAUCGCUCGUACUCACAACUCAAACGGUCUCCGCCCUGUCACGCAGGACUUGACAAGAGGCCGAAUGUCUCCUACAUAGUUUGACCUUCUGUCUUCCUGUCUGUGUGACUUGAGCCCUCUGAACAUCCCCCUGCAGACUGUAUAUUGUUGUGUUUAUCGGCCUCGUGCUUCACUGCAGCCGGCUGUUCGUAGUGUGAUUACAUGCAGCCGCGAGGAAGCAAAAAAGGUAAGACCAGCACUAAAUCUUCAAAUGCCGUCUGUCCCUGACAACCAAGGUCACCUGUGUGUGUAGGUGUGUGUGUGCCUGCCGUCACGUCGGGCCCUCAAUCCGACAGACUGAAAGAAAGGAAGAUGGGAAAAACAAGAAGAUGAACAGUAAAAGUAAGGACACACUAACACAAAAGGCUACAGUCAUAAACCUCACCAUCAACUCGGGAAUCGCAGGGUAACUCAAAAUGUGUAUCGCACAAUACGACACUGAUUUGAUAAGUUGACUAUGUCAAAAUGGUUUCAGUCAUCCACAAUGAAUCACAUCAUCUUUUUAAUUGAAAAAUACCCCUAAAGACCGAGCUGAGGUCCUGAGAGUUCAUACACAAAGUCAGCCCAAAGGAUGCAUAAGCCAUACUGUGUGUGUGUGUGUGUGUGUGUGUGUGUGUGUGUGUGUGUGUGUGUGUGUGUGUGUGUGUGUGUGUGUGUGUGUGUGUGUGGGAGGAAGACGGGUGAGUGUGAGCUGCAAUGUUAGCACGCCCUUGGUGCCCUCUCUCUAAUCAAUCUAAGAAGGAAGUGUUGGGUUAACCCCGCCCCCCUGCCAGGGCCUCAGGAAUUAAUAUUAAUCAAGCAUUGAUUAAGGCUUUAAGUGAACAGUCAUUAUUCACAACACCAUCCUCACAUCCCUCCUUUCUGUCUAAUCCUCCGUCCUGAACUCUUCCCUCCUCCCCCCUUUCCCUCCUUCCCUCCACGGAUACUCGAUACUCUCGUCCAGCACUUCCAACCGUUUACUUGUUUCACUCAUACUGUCUCUCGUCCUUCUUUUCACUCCAAACCAACGUUUCUUGGAUGAUAAUAGAAAGGCAUGAACCUCUCCCUCAACGCCCUUCCUUGAUGUACUCCAACACUACUUUCCUUCCAUUUACAUUCAUUAUUCUUCCCGCCCUGAGAUAAGGGAGAAGGAUGGAAGGAGCCGACAGAGGAAGCACAGAGGGAAGAAGACCAGGAGGGGAGGAGACGGCCAUCUGCCACAGAAGCAUCAGGGAACAAAAAUCAAAACUUUUCUUUGAGUCUCCAAAAAAUAAAAAGCAUGAACUACUUUUCUCCUCAGAAAAUGGUCAUUGAAAGCCACGAGAAGCAGAACAUGAGGAAUAGUUUGCGGAGACGAGCGGCAUCCCUCGCCGUGCUACUCGGAUCCAAUAGAAUCAGACGAUUCGAAAGAGCGGUUUUGAUUUAAAUUAAUUCUGUAAAUCUCUAGAGGGAAAUAAAAGCUUUGACUGAAGAUUUGACUUUUCAAACGAUGCACGUGUGAAGGACGGCAAAGCUUUUCAAAACAGUUAAUGUUCACACGCGCUGGACAUUUCUUUUUUGCAUCAACUUUGUCAAACUAUAAUUGGAAAAGUUAUCAAAAGUCUCCUGCUUGCAAAGCUUUGAAGAGCUGUCACAGUUUGUUGUUGUUGUCUCACGCUGUUGUUCGGUGGUGGUGGUUUUGGUUUGGAGACAUUUGUCAAUGGAAAAACUGUCACAAGCAUCUUCUGUAAAGUCAAAUACUGAAAUUAUUACAAACAGAAGACGUGGGGAGGCUUUUCUCUGCAAAGAAAGGCCCAUCGAGAGGCAUCUGUUAAAUGUGGCUGGGAGACCAUUCUUCUUCUGAAACUCAAUGUUCGACGGAUUCGAUUUGCCGGAUGCAGGUGCAAUUCAAGGAGUCACACAUCAACACAAAAGAAGAGAAAAGCAGUGCAGCACGUAGGAUAAACUACACAACAUUACAUCCGUAUUCAACUGAGGAAACUUACCUCAAAAAUCAUUUAGGUUCAACUUAUCGGUGCUUAUGAAUUACAAUCAACUACAAAAUCAUUGAAGUGAGUUCGUCCUUUUGAGUGCCGCUCAGUUGGUUAACAAUCAAUCAUCUAAAAAAUGGGUGUGUUAUGUGGUUGUGUUUUGCUGGGUGUGUUCUGGGGGUGUUUUGCUGGGUGUGUUAUGUUGGGUGUGUUGUGUUGGGUGUGUUAUGUUGGGUGUGUUGUGUUGGUUGUGUUACGUUGGGUGUGUUGUGUUGGGUGUGUUAUGUGGUUGUGUUGUGCUGGGUGUGUUGUGUUGGUUGUGUUAUGUUGGUUGUGUUGUGUUGCUUAUGUUGUGUUGGGUGUGUUACGUUGAGAGAUGUGUUGCGUUGGGUGUGUUGUGUUGGGGGUGUUAUGUGGUUGUGUCGUGUGGUUGUGUCGUGCUGGGUGUGUUGUGUGGUUGUGUUGUGUUGGUUAUGUUGUGCUGGGUGGGUUGUGCUGGGUGUGUUGUGUGGUUGUGUCGUGCUGGGUGUGUUGUGUUGGGUGUGUUGUGUUGGGUGUGUUGUGUUGGGUGUGUUGUGUUGGGUGUGUUGUGUGGUUGUGUAGUAUUUGUUGCUUCAUGUGAUUGAUGUGCAGUUCACAUACUGUUUGCGUUUAUUACUGCGCUGUAAUAAGGUCAAGUGUUGGAAGAGGUCAGAAGUUUCAAAGGUUAAAUGGACAAUCGGGGGUCAUGCAGCAUUUUUAUAGUUUUGCUCGUAACAGUUUUGUACAAAGUUGAAUGCUGAGAAAUGAAGUUAAUAUAAAUAAAGUGUUCAAAUUCCUUUUGCUAAAUGAAUAAUUCAACCAGACAACAAAGGUUCAUGUAAAUGACUCCAGCAGCACAAUACUUAUUUUCCUUCCCCCUCUGACUCCAUAGUGUCGGUACUCUCAGCCUGUGAAAUACUAAAAUUUGCCUUUCUGUGAUGGGGAACCCAAAACGGAGAAAAACUUUCCUUUGGGGGGGAAAUUAUUUUAUUGUUCGCUCACCUGUGGCACAAAAUACUUCUGGAUGUCUCCGCUUUGAUCUGGGUAUUCUAGAAAGGAUCCAACCAGGAGAGAAAUCAAAAACACUGGCGAGCGCAAAUCACUCAGGUGGAAAAAGGGUGAGAGAGAAGCAGCAACAAGAGGCACUUUCAUUCCUUAUAAAUCAGCCCAUUUUCACCUCUUGUCUUUUUCUUUAGUUUUCUUCAUUUUCAAACGCUUCUUGUCUCUGGUUUCCGCUCCGUGCUGCAGCAAAACAACAUCAGGCGAUUUAUAAGCAUGGCUGCCUCUCAUAAUGGAACCCGAGCCUCUCCAAAGGAGGAGCCUCUAACUUUACCACCACCAACACACACACACACACACACACACCCAACAUCAGUCAAAAGUGUGUAUACGAAUAACAAGUGGGCUGUUUUAUUCUUUAUACAUUCCAUCUGUUAUUCUACAUUUCUAAAAGGUUCAGUUUUUCAAGUUGAAAUGAUUCCAUUCUUAGAAGGGAUGUUGCUAAGCAACAACUUAAUUAGUCAAAUAACGUCAAAUGUAAAGUGCAGGUACGUGUCGCCGGCUGUAACAGAGCAGUAACACAACUUCGCCACUUAUUCAACAGGAAAUUACUCUUGACAAACAAAUUUAAAUCGGAGUGUAAAAAGUGAGAUAGAAGCGAUAGAAGAGAGAAAAAGAGAAAACAUUAAAUCUAGUCUGAAAAAGAUGAGAAAACAGGUGAAGUGAAGUGAAAGAACGAACGAGUGCACACACGGAAGAGAAGAGGGAAGCGCCGCCUCGAAUAAAUUCAGAGGUAAAUCAGUUCCAUGUGGUUGCUCCCAGGGGCGGCACGGUGGCGUGGUGGUUAGCACCGUUGCCUCACAGCAAGAAGGUCCUGGGUUCGAUUCCACCCAGUGGCCUUUCUGUGUGGAGUCUGCAUGUUCUCCCCGUGUCUGCGUGGGUUCUCUCCGGGUUCUCCGGCUUCCUCCCACAGUCCAAAGACAUGCUCUGGGGAUCAGGUUAAUUGGUGACUCUAAAUUGCCCGUAGAUGUGUGAAUGUGAGUGUGAAUGGUUGUGUGUCUCCGUGUAGCCCUGCGAUUGACUGGCGACCAAUCCAGGAUGUACCCUGUCUAUCGCCCGAAGUUGGCUGGGAUGGACUCCAGCCCCCCCGCGACCCUGUGUGCAGGAUAAGCGGUUUGACAAUGGAUGGAUGGAUGGUGGUUGCUCCCUGAAAAGUAGUUUGGCUGCCAGGAGACGGAUGGUGUCCCAGGACCGAACCCAGCACCACCCCAAUUACCGGGCCGUAAUACUUCCAUCGCUGUUUCUGGGCCGGUUUUGGAAGAGGAAAGUAGAGGCAGAUGGACGAACACAGGAAUGAAAAGAUGGAUCCCAAAAUCCUCAGAACCUCAACGUGAAAUACGAGCACACGACUCGCAAGGCUUUUAAUACGCUUGUGCAUUAGAAACACGAAGCUGUCCUAAUGAAACUGAAUCCACGUGUAGCUUCAUUUCAGUUAUACUGAAGACGUCUGUCCGUUGGAAAACGACCGUCCUCGCUUCAUUCAUUCUCUCAGUAAACACUGUAGAGUGAGUUUAUGGUCUCAAUAAAGUCUCUUUCAGUGUCCUUGGUGUCUCUCCACCGGUCACCGAAUCAGUGCGUGACGUCACAAUGAAUAUCGUACAGAGUCAGUGGAGAGCGACUUCCCUUUAGACCAGCAGAGACGUUGCGUCUUCGCUUAUGGCUGACGGAUGAGCAAACGAAGAGAGAGAGAGAGAGAGAGGGACACUAAGGGAAGGCAAACUUACCCAGAACACGGGGGAAUCGCUUGUCUUUGUUGCGGCUGCUGGACGCUGGAUGAUUCGGGUCCCCCGGGGAGGUCGGGAUGACUUAAAUGUGGACGAGGCGUAUACGCUAUGGAGGCACACAGCAGACCUGGAAGGGAGGUGAGAGGGAAACAGCAAGCGUAGCAAAGAAAAGUCAUUUUAACCAAGAGGGGUCAUGUAGCGAUGCACACACACACACACACACACACACACACACACACACACACAGAGAUAUGUGGCUCAUGCUGGGAUGUCAUUUUUUCUGGCUAUUUAUAGGGCCACCAGAGAUAUACAGGUACAUGCACACAAACAAACACACACGCACAUAAACUGGUGUGAAGACAUUUGUGCAUGCAUGCACAUGCUAAAGAAGCGGCCAUACAUCACCCAGGCCGGGAGGCAGGAGUGGGAGGAAGGGGAGGAAUGAGACGCGAGAUGCAGGAAAUGGAUGCAGCCGGGGCGGCGAGGAGGCCGACCGAGACCACGCGCCACGCGGCAUGUGGAUACUCGGCCAGCACCUCCUCUUGGUCCCAUUUUGCAUUUCACAAACAACCCGUAGACGGUCUACGCGCUGGACCUCACCACCUUUUCUAGGUUCCCUGUUCACGAAGCGGCGAAUCACGGAUGCUCCGUUUGGAAACACAAAUACGGGCAGAAUUUACAUCUACGCUCUCUAAUCACGGAGCCUUCGGGGCAUUCGCAUUGAAGUCGGGGGAAAUGACGGACUUGAGCCCGAGUGUGCUCGUGUCAAAAUGACACGCGGGCUCGCGGGUCGGCGCUCGAGGUUGAAUCGAGCUUUUUCGUCUUUUCUUUUGUGUCGCUGUCACUCAACCCGCUCCGUCGCUGUGCCUCUGAAUCACUUCCCAGGCAGCAGCUCACCUUCAAUUACAGUUUGAGCGCGCACCCAUUUGUCACCGCCUUUUAAAAAAAAAAAAAAAAAAGGAAGCAAAGCCUCAGAAAGGGGUCAGCGGGCAGAGGGGAAGUCUGAGUCCACUCUGCAGGAGGACUGUCCUGCCGUCUGCGACUCGUCUGACCUCAGGCCUGCAGGUGGGCAGUCGUGAUGUCGCCCUCACUCGGACCCUCAGAAACUCCACUCGUGGAUCCGGAUCUUGUGCCAACUGAAGGGAUGAUCGACUUUUGUUUUUUUCCGAACAUCAAUAUUAGGGGGAUUGAACUUCCCCCGAGGACGACGAUUUGUUCACACCCGUGUAAUGUAAAUUCACUCAACUUCAUCCCCACCGGUGGCAAAAACCCCGAAGGCUGCGUUACUCCGUUGGACUGUCGGCGAUCACAAGUCACGCAGGGCAACGCACAAAUAAAGACAAUCGCUGAACCCCCACAGCACGGGUCCUUCUUUAUUAGCCCCUUUAACGCUUUCCUGUAAAAAAAAACUACCUCACUUAAAAUGCGCAUGUGUCUUCUUCGUCAUACGACCUAUGAUGUGUGAUAAAAAUUACCUUGACAUGUUAUGGCCUGCAGAGCAGGUUUAUUUAUAGACAAAUAAUUGUUACAAAUAAAAGUGACUGUAAAACACGUUGAUUUUUGUUUUACAUUAUGCACAUUUUGACAUUUUGGUUGAAUUCUAAUCAACAUGAGCAUGUUUCUGAUGCAUAAAUGCUGCUAUAGGUUUAGCAUAAUUUAAGUUUGUUGGAUUAAAAUAAUGUUUUUAGAUAUUCACAGAUUAAACGUAUUGUCAUUUUUAUCAUUCCUAUUCUUCCCCUUUUAUUCUAUGUUGCUGCAGCUUUCUUUUGUGUUUCGACAUUCCAGGUUUGCAGAAGUCAUUAUAUUGGUAAGAGUGGAAUGCAUGUGGAGCCAUUCAGGGUCACAACAUCAAACGCCGACACACAAACGCUCAUGAUGCACACAUGCGCAUGCAUUGUUCUCACACAGCGUAUUAACAUAAUAAUAAUAUGUUGAACGUGUGAGCCAGGCAGAGCGCUGCACACUUGGGCCGGUUGGGACGGACGAUGCAGUCGGGCGGGUUGAACGGACACUCUGCUGGUGUGAGAAAAGUCGAUGAUGAGAAAAGUCAGAGACCCUGGUGGUUUCGUGUAGAAAUAAUAACGCAAUGCAUCUCGCGCUCUGACCCCGUCCUGAUUUUGACUAUUUCUGUGUCCACGGCGUGAACUCGUGGAUUUAAUUGCAGAGAAACAGCCACCGAACCGCGUGAGUUUAACGAGAUUUCAUUUUUUUUUUCUGUGUUUGAAUACAUUUAAUUUUGUGUUUGUGAGUCUGCUGUCAUGGUUUCCUCAUCGCGUGUGUGUCCUCUAUAAAUGUGUGUAUUCCAGAUGUAAUGAGCCCAUUAUUUGCUCCACCAUUAACACAGAAUAUAUAUUUGUUGACAACAGCGAAUAAUGCAACCAUUAACAUCACGAUCUGUGAACAUGCUAAGAGGCGUUUAUUUAUGAGUGUGUGUGUGUGUGUGUGUGGGUUGGGGGGGGGCGUUUGUGUAGUGCAUAUCACCUAUUAGCCUGUCAGGCUGUGGAUAACAAAACACCUCGGGAAGGUCACACAGGGAUUAAUGGGCCAUGGAUUACACCUGUCAGUGUGUUGGUGCGCGCGUUUGAGCGUAAGCCGUCGUUAUACACCGACACACAGUCCGUCUCACUCACAUUUACGGCGCAUCGCCGCGGAUCCGUGGCCCUAACCUUUCUGAGUCGACUAUUACGUCGUCAAGGCGCUGGGACGUGACACCGUUUGUUUUUCGUCUUUUACAGGCGGGCGUUGAUCCCCUGCAGUUACCCCAACCUAAAGCUGCCCUUACCUCGGGACGCACGCCUGUCGCUGUAUCGGGGGGCUCCUGCAGGUUGAUCGCUGUGCACGAGCACCCGCCACCAGCUGCAACCAUUAAACCGAUGCAUCAGCAGGUGAAACCCGUCGUUCAUAGAAUUGUAUACAAGCGGGCGCUCUGUGCAUUUGGGCCUCGCCUGUUCAAAGCUCGACUAAUGCUCUCCGACCACAUCGGAGGCCUCGCUGGCACGCUGUGUCCCUCGGCGGGCUCCCAUCACGUGGACGGUGCAUUCAGCCAAUGACCUCACUCUCGCUCACAAACACACACUCCAUCACUUUUUUUUUUUAACUACACACACUCGCAGUCAUAAAUUACGCACCUUCAGCGGAACACACAUUGCUCUCUCACCCGCGGAUGAAAAAGCUCAAACUCGGAACUUACUGUUCGAUAUAUCUCUCUUCUGCACUUCUUAUUCACCUCUGUGUCUUUCCAUUUCUCUCACUCUUUCAGGCGCACACACACACACACACACACACACACACGGAAGCUCUCGGCAUGCAUAGCGGCAGUCAUUUUUCUUGUUAAUGUACCGUGUCGAAUCUGCAGGGCGGCGGCGUGCAAAUGAAAGGUUGCACGUCUCACUCGCUUGGCAAUAUGUAUUUGAUAAGAGCUGUAAAUCAACCCGUGUGGCGGCGCAAAGCCCGCAGGGACGGACAAAACACGCGUUAAUGGAAGGCAGCUCUAAAGCGGCACAAGGCGGUGUGCGCGAUGCCGAAACGUCCGACGGCGCCGAGGGUCAGAGGGAGAGAACGGCCUGCGCGAGUGGAGGAAGGAAGGAGGAGAAAAAGGGCUUCGACUACCGGGAAAAUAACUGCAGGAAACACGCUCGUUACUCAGAGCGGCGCUAAAGGCCUCUGGGCGCGUUCGACCGGCGCCGACGGGAUGUAAACGUGGAGAAAAGCCACGUUUAGAUUUGCCGGGCCGGCGGUCUCUGCUGCACCGCCGCUCAGCGCGCACAGGCAAAUCAAAGUAGUUCUUCUCGUCCAACUGUCCAGUGCAGUUUGACGCAUAUCCCAAAAUGCCCCGGCAUCGACACUCCUAAUGGCCCCAUGAGUGCGAUUGAUAGCGGUUGAUAGCGUCGUUGGCAUCCUAGAUACGCUAAGUAAAUAUUCCCUUAGCUUAAGAAAGGUCAUUUAAUUGAAUUCUAAAACACAAACAUUUCAAUCCUGCUCUGAAUUGAUACGUUACGUUUUAAGUAAUCCGACCUUUGAAGAUGAUCGCUCGCCACAGGCGCCUUUCGUACUCAUAUAUAACAUAUUACACCCAACAAUUAAUAAAAAUCAACCCUUCUGCCUUCUUUCUGUUUCUCAAAUCUCUCCCUACAACCUGCAGCCUGAGCGUCUGUCACCGGGGACUCGCAUGGGAGCGGCGCCGCCGCGUGCGGAGAGCUGUGUUUGUGUUGCGUUAAUCGACCCGUCAUUGCUACGUCCAAGCCUUGUUAGAUGAACACACUUAUCCACUGGCGCCAUGCGUUCAUCUGCAUGUUUGGCCAGGGGGAAUACAGGGUGAGUGUUAAACAGUUGGUGACUUUCCUUGCAUAUUUGUGUGUGUGUGUGUGUGUGUGUGUGUGUGUGUGUGUGUGUGAGCUUUGUGAGCAUAAAUGAAAAUGUGGAGAUGGUGUAUUUACCGUAAUGGAAAAAAGCACCGGUCUAAUUGGACAAGGUGAAGGUAAAACUGCGCUCCCUUUAAAAUGACUCCAAAAAAAACAGAUACUGUAAAAAUACACUCUCUAAAACACACACACACACACACACACACAAACAAACGCGUACAAAUGCUUAGAUGGCAACAUGCAAGUACAUGGACACCGAUUUUUUUGCGUAAUAUGAUCGACUUUGACCAAAGAACUUACUGUUGCUUCCUUUAACUUUACAUUUUAACAAUGUGGUCCUCAUAAGGGUGGAAAAGCGAGUGUGCAUGCAAACACACAGACUCGGGUGCAUCUGGGCAUUAUCAGAGUGCUAUGUGAUGGAGGAAAAUGGGGUUUAUUUGCCAAAAUGGCCUGAGAGGCUUUGCGUGACCCGUAUUGCUCAUAACUGUACUCUGUGCUCAUAAAGAGUAAUGAGGGCCACAUCUGGACUGCAGCUUUUGUUUUUCCUCAUGAGUCUGGCUGUUGUCCAUGCGGCUGGAAUCUCACUGGGGCGUGAAAUACACUUCAGUGCAGCGUCUUUGUGUCUCUUUCUGUUCGAGAGCCAUACAAGCUGGUUGGGAAAUUAUACACAAUAAGUCGUCUCCUUUUGACCAUGAAACAUUUGAAAACGUAAACUCUCCAAAUGUGUUUACUUCCUGCUGCUGGAUACGUGAAAAAGAGACGGCUCAUUGCAUCACAAUGACGCCAAUCUGGUGC